AUGUUACAUAUGGAUUUGCAAACCUGAAUCUUGAGUUCUUUGGCUUGUUGUCGUUUUUAUAAUUGAAUGUAUUAGCAUAUCUCAAAAAUUUCAUUUAUAUCAUUAAACAGAAUAAGCAGUGUCACACAGACCCUCUUGUAAGUAGGUUAUCUUCAAUAGCGAUGAUUUAAUAGAUCUAAGCAGAGUCAUUGGUUCUGAAAAUUUAUCACACGUUACUAGUGCGUUUUUUUUGUUUCAACAGACAGCCGUGUGCCUCUUCCUGGGACGCUGCUCUGUGUGCCUCUUCCAGGGACACUGCUCCGUGUGCCCCUUCCCGGGAAGCUGCUCCUUGUGGUGCCUCUGCCCUGUACGACGCUCUCCGGCUGCUGCUUCGACCCAAGUUCCGACACCAUGUAGCUCGUCAAGAUUUUGGGCAGCUGGAGCCAUGCUCCAUGGACGAGGAGGAUGACCGGGACCCCAAGCCCAAGCCAACGAGCACGACGAGGUAAUCGUCGAGUCCGGGGACCUUGACCUCGACUCCCCACAUAAGAUGCAAAUGCACGGCAGCGAGAGAUUGAUGAUGUCGACGUCGUUACCCCCAAAAGUUGCAAGGUGUCGAAGUGCUGAGAGGUGGAAGCAUUAUUGUGUAAAAAGGCAAGAUGAGGCGGACUUGUGUUUUUCUUUGUUGGCUGGUAGCUGUGGACGUGUACUAAAUGAAAUGGCUGGUGAUAGUUGUUCUUGUACACAAGAUAAAAUGGCUUUGGUUUCUUGGUUUCAUGGCUUUGUUGGAUGGUAGCUGUGGAAGUGAGCUCAAGUGUUGAAUAUUGAUGUCUGUCAUCUUGUUCAUGUUGUUCCCAGUCACUACUUAAAGCAAUAAACUCCUGAGGGAUUGAAACUUGCCACUGCAAAUUUAUCAA